GAUGAAGAACGCAGCGAAAUGCGAUAAGUAAUGUGAAUUGCAGAAUUCCGUGAAUCAUCGAAUCUUAGAACGCACAUUGCGCCCCCUGGUAUUCCGGGGGGCAUGCCUGUCCGAGCGUCAUUGCAACCUUCAAGCGCGGCUUGUGUGUUGGGUCUCGUCCCCCGUGGACGGGCCCGAAAGGCAGUGGCGGCGUCCCGACAUGGUGCCCGAGCGUAUGGGAAUCCUCUUCCGCUCGAAUCGGCCCAUGCGGCGCUGGUCGUAACCAAAUUUUUUACCGGUUGACCUCGGAUCAGGUAGGGAUACCCGCUGAACUUAAGCAUAUCAAUAAGCGGAGGA
rnacentral:misc_RNA from 1 species